GUGGAACUGUAGACGGAGGUGUAGCAUUAGGCAUUAGGUGGAGGUGGAGCGGUAGGCGGAGGUGGAGCAUUAGAUGUAGGUGGAGCGGUAGGUGGAGGUGGAGCAUUAGAUGUAGUUAGAGCAGUAGGUGGAGGUGGAGCAUUAGGCAGAGGUGGAGCAUUAGGCAGAGGUGGAGUAUUAGACGGAGGUGUAGCGGUAGGUGGAGGUGGAGCAUUAGAUGUAGUUGGAGCGGUAGGUGGAGGUGGAGCAGUAGGCAGAAGUGGAGUAUUAGGUGGAGGUGGAGCGGUAGGCGGAGGUGGAGCAUUAAGCGGGGGUGGAGCAUUAGGUGGAGGUGGAGAAGUAGAUGGAGGUGGAGCAUUAGACGGAGGUGGAGAAGUAGAUGGAGGUGGAGCAUUAGGCAGAGGUGUAGCGGUAGGUGGAGGUGGAGCAUUAGAUGUAGUUAGAGUGGUAGGUGGAGGUGGAGCAUUAGGCAGAGGUGGAGCAGUAGGCAGAAGUGGAGUAUUAGGUGGAGGCGGAACUGUAGGCGGAGGUGGAGCGGUAUUACUUCAAGAGUAUCAAAUUACUUCAAGAGCC
ensembl:lncRNA